rnacentral:pre_miRNA from 1 species
CACCACAUUUGACAAUCAAUAUUUGACAUUUGACGGUCGAUAAUUUGUCAAAUACUGUCAAAUGUCAAAUAUUGAUUGUCAAAUGUGGUG